rnacentral:rRNA from 1 species
AAUAUUGGACAAUGGGCGAAAGCCUGAUCCAGCCAUGCUGCGUGUGUGAAGAAGGUCUUCGGAGUGUAUAGCACUUUAAUUUGGGAGGAAGGGCAGUAAGUUAAAACCUUGCUGUUUUGACGUUGCCGACUGAAUAAGCACCGGCUACCUUCCGGCCGGCAGCCGCGGUAAUACGAAGGGUGCAAGCGUUAAUCGGAAUUAGUGGGCGUAAAGGGCGCGUAGGUGGUUCGUUAAGUUGGAAGUGAAAGCCCCGGGCUUAACCUGGGAAUUGCUUUCAAAACUGACAAGCUAGAGUACGGUAGAGGGUAGUGGAAUUUGCUGUGUAGCGGUGAAAUGCGUAGAUAUAGGAAGGAACAUCAGUGGCGAAGGCGACUACCUGGACUGAAACUGACACUGAGGUGCGAAAGCGUGGGGAGCAAACAGG